rnacentral:misc_RNA from 1 species
AACGCAACUUGCGCCCUCUGGUAUUCCGGAGGGCAUGCCUGUUUGAGUGUCAUGAAACCUCAAUCCCCCAGGGUUCUGCUCUGUUGGGUGAUUGGAUUUGGGCGUUGCCGGCCUGGCCGGCUCGCCUUAAAGGCGUUAGUGGGAUCAGUAAACCCGAUCGGCGUAAUAAGUUUCGCUGAGGAGGUUUGCGCGAGCCCGCUCACAACCCUCUCCUUUGGAGAACACUCUUUUGAUCUGACCUCAAAUCAGGUAGGACUACCCGCUGAACUUAA